rnacentral:misc_RNA from 1 species
GAUGAAGAACGUAGCGAAAUGCGAUAAGUAAUGUGAAUUGCAGAAUUCAGUGAAUCAUCGAAUCUUUGAACGCACAUUGCGCCCGCCAGUAUUCUGGCGGGCAUGCCUGUCCGAGCGUCAUUUCAACCCUCGAACCCCUCCGGGGGGUCGGCGUUGGGGAUCGGCCCUGCCUCUUGGCGGUGGCCGUCUCCGAAAUACAGUGGCGGUCUCGCCGCAGCCUCUCCUGCGCAGUAGUUUGCACACUCGCAUCGGGAGCGCGGCGCGUCCACAGCCGUUAAACACCCAACUUCUGAAAUGUUGACCUCGGAUCAGGUAGGAAUACCCGCUGAACUUAAGCAUAUCAAUAAGCGGAAGA